UCAAGUUUCAACAGUGGAUGUCUUGGCUCCCAUAUCGAUGAAGAACGCAGCAAAGUGCGAUAAGCAAUGCGAAUUGCAGGCUGUGAGUCAUCAGAUUUUCGAACGCAUCU
rnacentral:rRNA from 1 species